rnacentral:misc_RNA from 1 species
UGUGGGAGCUGGCUUGCCUGCGAUGGCGGUGGGUCAGCUACGCCUGUAUGAACUGACAGACUGCAAUCGCAGGCAAGCCAGCUCCCACA